UGCGUAGGCGGAUUGAUAAGUCAGUGGUGAAAACCUUCAGCUUAACCGGAGACUUGCCAUUGAUACUGUUAGUCUUGAGUACGGUCAAGGUAGGCAGAAUGUGUAAUGUAGCGGUGAAAUGCUUAGAUAUUACACAGAACACCGAUUGCGAAGGCAGCUUACUGGGCCAUUACUGACGCUGAGGCACGAAAGCGUGGGGAGCGAACAGGAUUAGAUACCCUGGUAGUCC
rnacentral:rRNA from 1 species